UGAGCAAUCUGCCCUUCACAUCGGAAUAACCAUUGGAAACGAUGGCUAAUACCGAAUAUGACUUCGGAUCGCAUGAUCUGAAGUGGAAAGCUCCGGCGGUGAAGGAUGAGCUCGCGGCCUAUCAGCUUGUUGGUGAGGUAAUAGCUCACCAAGGCGAUGACGGGUAGCCGGCCUGAGAGGGUGACCCGGCCACACUGGGACUGAGACACGGCA
rnacentral:rRNA from 1 species